rnacentral:tRNA from 3 species
CCUUAGCUCAGUUGGUAGAGCAACUGACUCUUAAUCAGUGGGUCUAGGGUUCGAAUCCCU